GACGAACGCUGGCGGCGUGCCUAAUACAUGCAAGUUGAGCGCUGAAGGUUGGUACUUGUACCCACUGGAUGAGCAGCGAACGGGUGAGUAACGCGUGGGGAAUCUGCCUUUUAGCGGGGGACAACAUCUGGAAACGAAUGCUAAUACCGCAUAAUAACUUUAAACACAAGUUUUAAGUUUGAAAGAUGCAAUUGCAUCACUCAAAGAUGAUCCCGCGUUGUAUUAGCUAGCUGGUGAGGUAAAGGCUCACCAAGGCGAUGAUACAUAGCCGACCUGAAAGGGUGGUCGGCCACAUUGGGACUGAGACACGGGCCAAACUCCUACGGGAGGCAACAGGAGGGAAACUUCGGCAAUGGAGGGAAGGCUGAACGAGCAACGCCGGGUGAGUGAAGGAGGUUUUCGGAUCGUAAAAGUCGGUUGGUAGAGAAGAAAGUUGAUGAGGGUGGAACGCUCAUCAAGUGACGGUAACUAAAGAAAAAGGGACGGCUAACUACGUG
rnacentral:rRNA from 1 species